rnacentral:rRNA from 1 species
CUCUUUUUGAAUUUAAUUUAAAGUUUGGCCUGCCCACUGAAAUUUGAAGGGCCGCAGUAUUUUGACUGUGCAAAGGUAGCAUAAUCAUUAGUUUUUUAAUUGAAAGCUUGUAUGAAUGGUUUGAUGAGAAAAUUACUGUUUCAAUUUUAAUAUUAUAAUUUUAUUUUUAAGUUAAAAAGCUUAAAUUUAAUUUAAAGACGAGAAGACCCUAUAGAGUUUAACUAAAAAUUAAUUUAAGAAUUUCAGAAUUUUAUUUUUAUAAUUUGAUUUAAGUUAUGUUGGGGUGACAAAAAAAUUAAAUAAACUUUUUUUAUAUUAAAACAAUUUUAAUUGAAUAAUUGAUCCAUAAAAAUGAUUAAAAGAAUAAAUUACCUUAGGGAUAACAGCGUAAUCUUUUUAAUAGUUCUUAUUGAAAAAAAGGUUUGCGACCUCGAUGUUGGAUUAAAAUUUAUUUUUGGUGUAGAAGCUAAAAUAUUAGGUCUGUUCGACCUUUAAAAUUUUACAUGAUCUGAGUUU